GAUAGCACCUUUUAGGGGACCCAACAGAUCCGACGAAUGCGAUUCCAAACGUAACGCCAAAGAAAAGGUUGCUAAAACGAACUGCAAAAGAGGAAAGCACUAACCCCCAACACCAUUCAACACGGAGUACCAAAGCAAAAUGGAUUCCCUUCCACCUGCGAUGACGUGGCAAGGUAACGAAGCGAGAGUUCACGGAAGUUUGGCCCUCUAGUGGCAAACUUACGAAACGUCGAAUUCCGACGAAAAUCCCUAAUCGAUGUAACUAAUGAGUGGAUGCGAUGGUUAUUAACAAAAGAAAAAAACAAACAAAGCUAUCAAGAUUCCAGAAAUGACGAAGACUCUAGGGGACGCUCCACGGCGUUUGUUCCCACCUAGAGUGAAGCUCUGGGAUGGCGCGAUCCAUCCAGUUCCUUAUAGCAAGAACCAAGCUGAAACGAUCCAGAAGACCGAUCUACAAACAGCGAGGCUGAAACACUCAUCUGAGCCCCUCCAAGCUCAGAAUCAUCGCGACAGUCUUGCGACUGGGGGAGUCAAAAGCUCGGGACGAACCCUCCACCAAAGUUGUCCUUCAUUGCCACCGUGCCCAACCCAACCACCCAUGCACGAAAUGACGAAACGAAAAAAAAAACGAGUAAACAAAAUGUAAUCCGAUCCGAGAAUGCCAAUAAAAACCGAAAUAGCUA